rnacentral:rRNA from 1 species
GAUGAACGCUGGCGGCGUGCCUAAUACAUGCAAGUCGAGCGAACAGACGAGGAGCUUGCUCCUCUGACGUUAGCGGCGGACGGGUGAGUAACACGUGGAUAACCUACCUAUAAGACUGGGAUAACUUCGGGAAACCGGAGCUAAUACCGGAUAAUAUAUUGAACCGCAUGGUUCAAUAGUGAAAGACGGUUUUGCUGUCACUUAUAGAUGGAUCCGCGCCGCAUUAGCUAGUUGGUAAGGUAACGGCUUACCAAGGCAACGGUGCGUAGCCGACCUGAGAGGGUGUUAGGCCAACCUAGAACUGAGACACGGUCCAGACUCCUACGGGAGGCAGCAGUAGGGAAUCUUCCGCAAUGGGCGAAAGCCUGACGGAGCAACGCCGCGUGAGUGAUGAAGGUCUUCGGAUCGUAAAACUCUGUUAUUAGGGAAGAACAAAUGUGUAAGUAACUAUGCACGUCUUGACGGUACCUAAUCAGAAAGCCACGGCUAACUACGUG